rnacentral:rRNA from 1 species
AGAAUCAACGCUGGCGGCGUGCCUAACACAUGCAAGUCGCACGAGAAAGGGGAGCAAUCCCUGAGUAAAGUGGCGCACGGGUGAGUAACACGUGAAUCAUCUACCUCCGAGUGGGGAAUAACCUAGAGAAAUCUGGGCUAAUACCGCAUAACACUUACGAGUCAAAGCAGCAAUGCGCUUGGAGAGGAGUUCGCGGCCGAUUAGUUAGUUGGCGGGGUAAUGGCCCACCAAGACGAUGAUCGGUAUCCGGCCUGAGAGGGCGCACGGGACACACUGGAACUGAAACACGGUCCAGACUCCUACGGGAGGCAGCAGUGGGGAAUUUUGCGCAAUGGGGGAAACCCUGACGCAGCAACGCCGCGUGGAGGAUGAAAUAUCUUGGUAUGUAAACUCCUUUCGAUGGGGAAGAUUAUGACGGUACCCAUAGAAGAAGCCCCGGCUAACUUCGUGCCAGCAGCCGC